rnacentral:rRNA from 1 species
AAUGGGCGCAAGCCUGAUCCAGCCAUGCCGCGUGAGUGAUGAAGGCCCUAGGGUUGUAAAGCUCUUUCAACGGUGAAGAUAAUGACGGUAACCGUAGAAGAAGCCCCGGCUAACUUCGUGCCAGCAGCCGCGGUAAUACGAAGGGGGCUAGCGUUGUUCGGAAUUACUGGGCGUAAAGCGCACGUAGGCGGAUCGUUAAGUGAGGGGUGAAAUCCCAGGGCUCAACCCUGGAACUGCCUCUCAUACUGGCGAUCUUGAGUUCGAGAGAGGUGAGUGGAAUUCCGAGUGUAGAGGUGAAAUUCGUAGAUAUUCGGAGGAACACCAGUGGCGAAGGCGGCUCACUGGCUCGACACUGACGCUGAGGUGCGAAAGCGUGGGGAGCAAACAGGAUU